rnacentral:rRNA from 1 species
CCUACGGGGGGCUGCAGUGGGGAAUAUUGGACAAUGGGGGCAACCCUGAUCCAGCCAUGCCGCGUGUGUGAAGAAGGCCCUCGGGUUGUAAAGCACUUUCAGUGAGGAAGAACGCCUGGUGGUUAAUACCCAUCAGGAAAGACAUCACUCACAGAAGAAGCACCGGCUAACUCCGUGCCAGCAGCCGCGGUAAUACGGAGGGUGCGAGCGUUAAUCGGAAUUACUGGGCGUAAAGCGCGCGUAGGUGGCUUGAUAAGCCGGUUGUGAAAGCCCCGGGCUCAACCUGGGAACGGCAUCCGGAACUGUCAAGCUAGAGUGCAGGAGAGGAAGGUAGAAUUCCCGGUGUAGCGGUGAAAUGCGUAGAGAUCGGGAGGAAUACCAGUGGCGAAGGCGGCCUUCUGGACUGACACUGACACUGAGGUGCGAAAGCGUGGGUAGCAAACAGGAUUAGAUAUCCUGGUAGUC